rnacentral:lncRNA from 10 species
AUGAACAAAAAGAGCCAAAUAGAAAGGAAAAAUUAUAUCUACAACAAAAGCAGCAGACAGCUAAAUUCCACAUCACUGACUACUGAAGAAUAUCUCCUAGAAGCAAGAUCACUUGAACCAAAUUAAUUGAAGAUGGAUGUUCAGACCUUUCUCCUAUAUCCUCUGAUAUUGGGAAAGAAGCAAAUUUCAAAUCAGUGGAUUAAAAAGAGUCUUACUACUAAUCUUUAACCUGAUGCAGUAAGGAUUAACUCUAUGGAUGGAUUAAGGAGAAACAGAGAGAACAUUGACUGGGGCACCAUUCGGUUUCAAAGAAUGACAAGAAAGGAUGAAGAAUUGGCUGGAGGUAAAAAUCUCAUUGAAAAUCUUUGUCAGUGGGUGAAAUGUCCAGCUGUUAAGUGAAUUGGUAUGGUAUGGUGGCUAGUUCCAAAUGAAAUGGCUAAGCUUCACCCCUUUGAACACUCAACUUCUCAGGGAGUGAAAAUGCUGGAACUAGGAUUUGCAGAUCCAGAGACUAAAACGUGACUUUAAAUCAGACUGACUGCAUCUGCCCAUUUUGAUGGUGAAGACCCCGUGGGAAAGACUUUUUGAUAAAUGAACAGGCAUUAGUCUUAUGACAUUUCUCCAACAUCCUGCAGUCAUCUUGAUGGCCACACCUCACUUUUCUUUACUGUCUGCUACUCCUUUGCUUCACUAAAAGCAGAAAAGGUGAAUAAUUUUCAUUCCAAGUGUUGCUGGGUUAGGGUCUCCC